rnacentral:rRNA from 1 species
ACUCAAAGGAAUUGACGGGGGCUUGCACAAGCGGUGGAGCGUGUGGCUUAAUUCGUCGCUAAGCGAAGAACCUUACCCAGACUAGAAAUUCUACUGCACGCCCCGUGAAAGCGGGGAAGCCUUCGAGGGUGUAGAACAGGUGAUGCAUGGCUGUCGUCAGUUCGUGGUUUGAAUCGUUCCCUUCAGUGGGGUAACGAACGCAACCCUCGUUGCCAGUUACAAGUGUCUGGCGAGACUGCCCCCUCACGGGGGAGGAAGGUGAGGAUGACGCCAAGUCAGCAUGUCCCUCUGAUGUCUGGGGCUGCACACGCGCUACAAUCGCCUUUACAAAGGGACGCAAUGCGGCAACGCGGAGCAAAUCCUUAAAAGAGGCGCCAGUUCGGAUUGGAGUCUGCAACCCGACUCCAUGAAGCCGGAAUCGCUAGUAAUCGUGGGUCAGCCACACCACGGUGAAUACGUUCUCAAGCCUUGUACACACCGCCCGU